rnacentral:rRNA from 1 species
AAAUUGAAGAGUUUGAUCAUGGCUCAGAUUGAACGCUGGCGGCAGGCCUAACACAUGCAAGUCGAACGGUAACAGGAAGCAGCUUGCUGCUUUGCUGACGAGUGGCGGACGGGUGAGUAAUGUCUGGGAAACUGCCUGAUGGAGGGGGAUAACUACUGGAAACGGUAGCUAAUACCGCAUAACGUCACAAGACCAAAGAGGGGGACCUUCGGGCCUCUUGCCAUCGGAUGUGCCCAGAUGGGAUUAGCUUGUUGGUGGGGUAACGGCUCACC